rnacentral:rRNA from 1 species
GAAAAACCAGAUGGGAAAAAAAAAAAAUAACAAC